rnacentral:misc_RNA from 1 species
UAUUGACUUGUUAGAGACUGUAAAGUUCUUGCAUCUCCAACGAUAUGAACUGAUACCAGUAGGUGGAUUGCAAGUAGACCAUAUCAAAAUCAUCAAAUUACAUCAAUUUGCUCUAGCAUAAACAAAUAACAGAACAAUAAAACCCAGCAAUUGUUGCAUUCCAAACGAUAGGUGCAAUCACUAAAGGAACAGCAGGAUAGGAACUUGAUGAUACUGUGUCCCAACUCAUAAUAUUUAUUAUUAAUAUAUUU